rnacentral:rRNA from 1 species
UCGAGAAUCUUCGGCAAUGGGCGCAAGCCUGACCGAGCGACGCCGCGUGGAGGAUGAAGGCCCUCGGGUUGUAAACUCCUGUCAGGGGGGAUGAAAUCCAGGCGGGUUCUCCCGCUUGGUUGACAUAUCCUCAGAGGAAGCACGGGCUAAGUUCGUGCCAGCAGCCGCGGUAAGACGAACCGUGCGAACGUUGUUCGGAAUCACUGGGCUUAAAGGGCGCGUAGGCGGUGUGUUAAGUCGGCGGUGAAAUACUUCGGCUCAACCGGAGAAUGGCCGCUGAAACUGGCACGCUCGAGGGAGGUAGAGGUGCGUGGAACUUCCGGUGGAGCGGUGAAAUGCGUUGAUAUCGGAAGGAACACCGGUGGCGAAAGCGGCGCACUGGACCUCUUCUGACGCUGAGGCGCGAAAGCUAGGGUAGCGAACGG